rnacentral:lncRNA from 1 species
UGUAUCUUAAUGCCAACUUUAUUUGCAUGUUGAAGAGGUUGCUGAUUCUAGAGUAGUGCCAAUUAUGAGAUGGUUUGUAUAUCUAAAGGUUUUUAUACCACGGUUUAUCUACGUAAGUUAAGGGAAUAGCUUGAGAUGUGUUUGCCUGGCUCGUAGAAAGUAGUGGAGUUCUCCACAGUGGUCUGAUGCUGGAUUCCAUCGCUUUUACUGUUGUCAUGUGUCCCAUAAGAAAGCCUUUAUUCAGCAUUUUUGGACGUGGUCGGUCGACGAAAGCCACCAAAAAAUAUUCAGCUGAUCUGCCGGUCGAAUCUUACCACAGACCUUAUGCGUACCAUGUUGCAGAUAUUGCCGUUUCAGUUGAUGUAACAAUAUAAUGGUCAGAACACAA